AUUGGACGCUGGCGGCAGGCCUAACACAUGCAAGUCGAGCGGAUGAAGGGAGCUUGCUCCUGGAUUCAGCGGCGGACGGGUGAGUAAUGCCUAGGAAUCUGCCUGGUAGUGGGGGAUAACGUCCGGAAACGGGCGCUAAUACCGCAUACGUCCUGAGGGAGAAAGUGGGGGAUCUUCGGACCUCACGCUAUCAGAUGAGCCUAGGUCGGAUUAGCUAGUUGGUGGGGUAAAGGCCUACCAAGGCGACGAUCCGUAACUGGUCUGAGAGGAUGAUCAGUCACACUGGAACUGAGACACGGUCCAGACUCCUACGGGAGGCAGCAGUGGGGAAUAUUGGACAAUGGGCGAAAGCCUGAUCCAGCCAUGCCGCGUGUGUGAAGAAGGUCUUCGGAUUGUAAAGCACUUUAAGUUGGGAGGAAGGGCAGUAAGUUAAUACCUUGCUGUUUUAACGUUACCAACAGAAUAAGCACCGGCUAACUUCGUG
rnacentral:rRNA from 1 species